UACGAAGGGGGCUAGCGUUGUUCGGAAUUACUGGGCGUAAAGCGCACGUAGGCGGAUUGUUAAGUCGGGGGUGAAAUCCCAGGGCUCAACCCUGGAACUGCCUCCGAUACUGGCAUUCUCGAGUCCGAGAGAGGUGAGUGGAAUUCCGAGUGUAGAGGUGAAAUUCGUAGAUAUUCGGAGGAACACCAGUGGCGAAGGCGGCUCACUGGCUCGAUACUGACGCUGAGGUGCGAAAGCGUGGGGAGCAAACAGG
rnacentral:rRNA from 1 species